rnacentral:rRNA from 1 species
UACGAAGGGGGCUAGCGUUGCUCGGAAUCACUGGGCGUAAAACGCACGUAGGCGGGUCGUUAAGUCAGGGGUGAAAUCCUGGAGCUCAACUCCAGAACUGCCCUUGAUACUGGCGAUCUCGAGUUCGGGAGAGGUGAGUGGAACUGCGAGUGUAGAGGUGAAAUUCGUAGAUAUUCGCAAGAACACCAGUGGCGAAGGCGGCUCACUGGCCCGAUACUGACGCUGAGGUGCGAAAGCGUGGGGAGCAAACAGG